rnacentral:rRNA from 1 species
GUGGGGAAUCUUGGUCAAUGGGCGCAAGCCUGAACCAGCGACGCCGCGUGGGGGAUGAAGGUCUUCGGAUUGUAAACCCCUGUUGGGUGGGACGAACACUUUCGUGGUGAAUAUCCAUGGAGGCUGACGGUACCACCUGAGGAAGCCCCGGCUAACUCUGUGCCAGCAGCCGCGGUAAUACAGAGGGGGCAAGCGUUGUUCGGAAUUACUGGGCGUAAAGGGCGCGUAGGCGGCCUGUUAAGUCGGACGUGAAAUCCCUCGGCUCAACCGGGGAACUGCGUCCGAUACUGGCGGGCUUGAAUUCGGGAGAGGGAUGUGGAAUUCCAGGUGUAGCGGUGAAAUGCGUAGAUAUCUGGAGGAACACCGGUGGCGAAGGCGGCAUCCUGGACCGACAUUGACGCUGAGGCGCGAAAGCCAGGGGAGCAAA